rnacentral:rRNA from 1 species
GGUCUGCAACUCGACCCCAUGAAGUCGGAGUCGCUAGUAAUCGCAGAUCAGCAACGCUGCGGUGAAUACGUUCCCGGGCCUUGUACACACCGCCCGUCAAGUCACGAAAGUUGGUAACACCCAAAGCCGGUGGCCUAACCUUUUUGGAGGGAGCCGUCUAAGGUGGGAUUGGCGAUUGGGACUAAGUCGUAACAAGGUAGCCGUACCGGAAGGUGCGGCUGGAUCACCUCCUUU